UACGUAGGGUGCGAGCGUUAAUCGGAAUUACUGGGCGUAAAGCGUGCGCAGGCGGUUUUGUAAGACAGGUGUGAAAUCCCCGGGCUUAACCUGGGAACUGCAUUUGUGACUGCAAGACUAGAGUGUAGCAGAGGGGGGUAGAAUUCCACGUGUAGCAGUGAAAUGCGUAGAGAUGUGGAGGAAUACCGAUGGCGAAGGCAGCCCCCUGGGCUAACACUGACGCUCAUGCACGAAAGCGUGGGGAGCAAACAGG
rnacentral:rRNA from 1 species